AACGAACGCUGGCGGCGUGCUUAACACAUGCAAGUCGAACGCGAAAGUUUCUUUCGGGAAAUGAGUAGAGUGGCGCACGGGUGAGUAACGCGUAAGUAAUCUACCCUGGUAUCUGGAAUAACUCAUCGAAAGGUGUGCUAAUACCGGAUACGCUGAGUAAUCAGGAAAGGAGGCCUCUGCAUAUGCUUCCGUACCAGGAUGAGCUUGCGUACCAUUAGCUAGUUGGUAGGGUAAUGGCCUACCAAGGCGACGAUGGUUAGCGGGUCUGAGAGGAUGACCCGCCACACUGGAACUGAAACACGGACCAGACUACUACGGGAGGCAGCAGUGAGGAAUAUUGCGCAAUGGGGGCAGCCCUGACGAAGCGACGCAGCGUGGAUGGUGAAGGCCUUCGGGUCGUAAAAUCCUGUCAGAUGGAAAGAAUGGCCUUUGUGCUAAUAUCACAGAGGAUUGACGGUACCAUCAAAGGAAGCACCGGCUAACUCCGUGCCAGCCGCCGCAGUAA
rnacentral:rRNA from 1 species